rnacentral:rRNA from 2 species
CUGGAGGUAUCAGAAGUGCGAAUGCUGACAUAAGUAACGAUAAAGCGGGUGAAAAGCCCGCUCGCCGGAAGACCAAGGGUUCCUGUCCAACGUUAAUCGGGGCAGGGUGAGUCGACCCCUAAGGCGAGGCCGAAAGGCGUAGUCGAUGGGAAACGGGUUAAUAUUCCCGUACUUGGUGUUACUGCGAAGGGGGGACGGAGAAGGCUAUGUUGGCCGGGCGACGGUUGUCCCGGUUUAAGCGUGUAGGUGUGUGUUCCAGGUAAAUCCGGUUCACUUUAACACUGAGGCGUGAUGACGAGGCACUACGGUGCUGAAGCAACAAAUGCCCUGCUUCCAGGAAAAGCCUCUAAGCAUCAGGUAACAUCAAAUCGUACCCCAAACCGACACAGGUGGUCAGGUAGAGAAUACCAAGGCGCUUGAGAGAACUCGGGUGAAGGAACUAGGCAAAAUGGUGCCGUAACUUCGGGAGAAGGCACGCUGACACGUAGGUGAAGUGAUUUACUCAUGGAGCUGAAGUCAGUCGAAGAUACCAGCUGGCUGCAACUGUUUAUUAAAAACACAGCACUGUGCAAACACGAAAGUGGACGUAUACGGUGUGACGCCUGCCCGGUGCCGGAAGGUUAAUUGAUGGGGUCAGCGCAAGCGAAGCUCCUGAUCGAAGCCCCGGUAAACGGCGGCCGUAACUAUAACGGUCCUAAGGUAGCGAAAUUCCUUGUCGGGUAAGUUCCGACCUGCACGAAUGGCGUAAUGAUGGCCAGGCUGUCUCCACCCGAGACUCAGUGAAAUUGAACUCGCUGUGAAGAUGCAGUGUACCCGCGGCAAGACGGAAAGACCCCGUGAACCUUUACUAUAGCUUGACACUGAACAUUGAGCCUUGAUGUGUAGGAUAGGUGGGAGGCUUUGAAGUGUGGACGCCAGUCUGCAUGGAGCCGGCCUUGAAAUACCACCCUUUAAUGUUUGAUGUUCUAACGUGGACCCGUGAUCCGGGUUGCGGACAGUGUCUGGUGGGUAGUUUGACUGGGGCGGUCUCCUCCUAAAGAGUAACGGAGGAGCACGAAGGUUGGCUAAUCCUGGUCGGACAUCAGGAGGUUAGUGCAAUGGCAUAAGCCAGCUUGACUGCGAGCGUGACGGCGCGAGCAGGUGCGAAAGCAGGUCAUAGUGAUCCGGUGGUUCUGAAUGGAAGGGCCAUCGCUCAACGGAUAAAAGGUACUCCGGGGAUAACAGGCUGAUACCGCCCAAGAGUUCAUAUCGACGGCGGUGUUUGGCACCUCGAUGUCGGCUCAUCACAUCCUGGGGCUGAAGUAGGUCCCAAGGGUAUGGCUGUUCGCCAUUUAAAGUGGUACGCGAGCUGGGUUUAGAACGUCGUGAGACAGUUCGGUCCCUAUCUGCCGUGGGCGCUGGAGAACUGAGGGGGGCUGCUCCUAGUACGAGAGGACCGGAGUGGACGCAUCACUGGUGUUCGGGUUGUCAUGCCAAUGGCACUGCCCGGUAGCUAAAUGCGGAAGAGAUAAGUGCUGAAAGCAUCUAAGCACGAAACUUGCCCCGAGAUGAGUUCUCCCUGAGACUUUAGGUCUCCUGAAGGAACGUUGAAGACGACGACGUUGAUAGGCCGGGUGUGUAAGCGCAGCGAUGCGUUGAGCUAACCGGUACUAAUGAACCGUGAGGCUUAACCUUACAACGCCGAAG